rnacentral:lncRNA from 1 species
UAAGACAGAGAUAGAUGCACGAAUUAAACUAAAUACCCGACACUGCUCGCUCAGGAGACUUACCAGGGUAGACACGAUGUAGGGUAGACUACAGUAAGUUAGGUGACUUCAGAUGCAAAAAGAAGAAGAAGUUAUGAAGAUAGUAUGAAUGAAAGAUUACUGAAAUCCAACUAACUAGCAACUAGAAACAAAUAACAGUACUACCAUUAGCUGAAUUUAAUCUUUCACUGGUUUUCUUAAAAUAUUUGGUUUUGGGUAUAUGUCUACUCAAGGUAAGAGGGUCUGUAUAGAAGAUAAAGAGUGAAGUUUUAUUUUGAAACUAGUAUAAUGAAUAGGUUAUUUAGAUCUAACUCUUCAACUAGUCACCGGUCAACUUUGCCUCCAGUUCCAGACAUAGUUAACCAAGAAACUCACAGUUACGAAAAUAUCAUUCAAGCCCUACAUAAUUGGAAUAUACCUAGGGUUUCCCCUAAAGAAAUUUAUCAGUCAACAUUUCUUGAUAAUUUUAAAACUGAUUAUAAUGUCAAAACAGUCGAAAAAGUUUAUGCUAUUAACAAAGAAUAUGAAAAUUGUAGUCUUCUUAACCCUGAUGUUAUUAAAAAACAUAGGAAAAGGGGUUACAAUUUUAUUCAUAUUGGCUUAGUUCAAGUUGCAGUUAAACCAUUAAACAUCAAAGGAAUUAAUUCAUGCAUCUAUCUCUGUCUUAGAGAUGCUAGGUUCUUGAAUUACCACCCCAGCAUAAUAGGCGCAAUGGAGUCAAGUCUGCAUAAUGGACCAGUCCAUUUUAAUUGCUUUCCUGAUUUCACCCUGAGCCUUAGUGAUCAACAUUUACUAAAAGCUUUAACAUUAAACAUUAAAACUUCAGGCGAAAUCACUCACAUGAUUGAGGGGUCACAGCAAAUUGCUUUAAUUUAUAGGAUUUAUUAUAAAACAAUGAAAACAAAUUUAAAUGUUCAUGCUUUAAAUAAAAGUCCUAAAGAUUUAACAGUGUUAAUUCAAAGUUCUACUACUGAUGCUAAUAUUCAAGUCCCAAGAACAAUUCUUUGGAAAGAUAUUACGUUCCCUAGUCAGUGGAAUUUACCUAAUGAAAUACCUCAAUAGCCUAUAAUUAAUAGUUUAUUAAAUAUAGAAAACGUUAGGCAAUUUUCCGAUGGAACGGUCAAAAUAAGUUUUGAACGUACCAAAAGACCAGUCAUUAUUGAAGACUUUACUAGUUCUUCAGCUCCUUCGUCUUACGUUCGAAGAGAUACUGAAGUACUCAGUAAUCCUUCAGUUAAAGACAUUAAAUUAAAAGGUAUUCUUAAUCAAGGCCAAGCUAGUCAUCCCUGUUAUGCUCAUAGAGAUUUUGUAGAAGAAGAAGAUUCUUCUUCUCCCACUUUUUCUGUGAUGCCCACUCAGUCAGAUUUCGAUAUUCCUAUUAACAAUCAAUUAAGAGUCAUUAAAAAAGAGUUCGUAUUAGAUUGGGACAAUCUGGUAAAAGAUUUUAAUUCCAAAUCUAAUAAGGAAAAAAGACAUUUAUUCAGAUCUAAUCACCCCACUGAAAAAGAACGUGAUAAGAUAGUCAAUAGAUGGAAAAGAUUCAUUAAAAGUGAGAGUUUGAAUAUUACAUUUUAUGAUUGGUAUGAACAAUUUCAAAGUAAAUGUAAUGUAAUAACCAAAACUCAAUGGAUUAAAGAAGAUAAAUCAAGAGUUUCUUCCAGUCAUCCUCCUUUAGAAACUGUUCUAAUUUCAGUUAAAAAUACUUCAGUUGUAGCCAGUCCAUUCAAAAUUUCUGAUGCUAGUAAUAAUGAUAAGAAAAUUAUAGAACAAUUAAACUUCAGUAAUCAAUAUCUAGCAACUGUAGGAAAACAGCUAGAUAGGAUAGAAGAAAAAUUUGAAGAGUCUAUUAUUAAAAAACCUGAUUCAAAAAUUGAACAUCCUUUAAUAAAAUUACCAGAAAAUAGAUAUAAGUUAGGUUUACCAUCUGAUGAUGAUAAUUUAGUUAAAACCAUUGAUAAGUUAUUCAAAAAACUAAAAAAUGAACCUGGUACGAGUGGUACAAUUGCCACUAUUGAUCAAGCUGAAACUGAUAUUAAAAGCAGUAGUGAUUCAGAUAAAUCUGACACUGAUUCAAUACCAAAUUUCAAUGAUCAGCUAAAAAAGUUAACUGUCAAAAACACCAGUAUAACUAGGAAUUGGUACUCUAGACCCACUCCUCCGGAUUUACAGUUCGAAGAGAGGAAUCUAGAUAAACAGUUCUCCGUUUCAUCUAAUAAAAUUUAUGAAUGGAACAUUGAUGGGUUUAGUGAACAAGAAAUUUUAAAUAAAUUGAAUCAUAUGUCUAUGGUAGCAAACAGUUACAUAACUAAAUUCAAUAAUUUGUCUCAACCAGACAUUGUUGAAUUGAUAGUUAGUGGAUUCACUGGUAUCCUCAGAUCUUGGUGGGAAAAACAUCUCACUGAAGAUACUAGAAUAUCAAUAAUCCAUGCUGUCCAAUUGGAUGAUGAUGGCAACCCUAUCUUCAAUGAAGAUCUUGGUGUUGGUCCACCAGAUGGAGUUAAUACACUUAUAUUUACCAUAAUAAAACACUUUAUCGGUACUCCCAGUAAUAUCACUGAGCGAAUUCACGAUCAGUUAAGUAAUCUCACUUGUCCCACUCUAAGCGACUUUAGAUGGUACAAAGAUGUUUUUACUUCCAGAGUUAUGUUACGCAAUGAUAGCAAUAAACCAUUUUGGAAAGAAAAAUUUGUCAAUGGUUUACCUUCAUUGUUUGCCCACAAAGUUCGUGAAGAAUUGAGUAAAAAUCUUGGUUAUAUUGACUAUGAUAACUUAACCUACGGUGAUAUAAUUAGUUAUAUUCAAAAGAUUGGAUUAAAAAUGUGUAUUGAUUUUAGAUUAGCCAAACAGGCUAGUAAAGACAAGAAAAAGGCCAAAUAUGAGUUAGGCACUUUCUGUGAACAAUAUGGCUUACCGCCAAUAGCUCCCUCCAGAAGGAAGCAUAGGCAUAAACAUAUUGAAUCUCACAAAAAUACUAAACAUCAUAGAAGAAAACGAAGUUACCACAAAGAUAAAAAUCAAGACAAUUAUUAUAAUAAGCCUAAAACCACUAAUAAAAGACAUAUUAAAAAAUCUAAGUCCAAAAAAUACGAUAAGAGUAAAGUUGUUUGCCACAAUUGCGGGCAAAAGGGUCAUUAUAAAAGUGAAUGUAAAAUAAAACAAAAACUAAAUCAGCUAAAUAUCUCUAGUGAAGAUACUGAACACAUAUUAGAACUUAUGAGAAUUGAGAACGACGUUAGUAAUGAUGAAGGUUCUUCAAUCUCUAAUUCUUCUAAAACAGAUAUAUUAUCAAGCAGUGACACAGAAGAAGUCACUAUUUGUGCUGAUAAUUGCAAUGAGAAUUGCUGCACUAAAAGAGUUAAUGUACUUAACAAAGAUGAUGAAGAAAGCUCUUUGUUAAUCGAAAUAAUCAGUAAAAUUAUUGAUCCUAAAGUAAAAGCUCAGUAUACUAAACAAUUAAAAGAUUUAUUAACCAAAGAUAAUAGUAAUGAUAGAUUUAUUAAAGCUAAAGAAAAACCAAUUUUUAGCCUCAAUAAAACAUUGGAAAGAUUUAAAUCUCCUGUUAAAGAAGUCACUCUCCCAAAAUUAAAUCUAGAAGUUAAUAAACUUAAAAAGGAUAUUGCUAAUUUAAAACUAGAAGUUUCCAAUUUAAGAAAAGAUUUUGAUGAUAAAAAGUCAGAUCUUCAGAUUAAUGAUUCCACAUCUAGUGAUGAAAAUCCUGAUGAACCAGAAUCAUCUGGAGUUAAAGAUGAAUCAGAUCAAGUUAUACAAGGUCUUACACUUAAAAGAAUCAAGGAUAUUACCAUUCAAAAAUGGUAUGUCUCGAUUAACCUGGUUGUUGAUAAAAGCUUCUCCAUACGACUUUCUGCUCUGGUUGAUACAGGUGCAGAUUUAAAGUGUAUACAAGAAGGAUUAAUCCCAACCAAGUAUUUUAGGAAAACUAGUGAAAGAUUAAAUUCAGCUAAUGGUAGUCAAAUGGAAAUUAAAUAUAAAUUGCCUAAGGUUCAUAUCUGUCAAGAUAAUAUGUGUUUUAAAACAUCAUUUAUUUUAAUUCGCAAUCUUACUGAUAAGGUCAUCUUAGGAUUACCAUUUAUAUAUUUACUUUACCCAUUUACUACUAAUAAAGAAGGUCUAAGCUGUAGACACUUAGGAAAGAAAAUAAUAUUUAAAUUUCUUAUUAAACCAAAAGUGAGGGAUUUAAAAUUCAUUCAAGAAGAAUCUAUCUCUAAAUCAUUAAAUCUACUCAAUUGUAAAACAACACAUUUGAAAUUUUUGAAAGAAGAAAUUAAAUAUAAACGGAUUGAAGAGUAGCUUCUGAGUAAAAAGGUUCAAGAACAAAUUGAAGAUUUAAAAAUCUAUUUAAAGGAUAACCUUUGUUCUGACUCUCCCAAUGCUUUCUGGCAUCAGAAAAAGCAUAUGGUUCGGCUCCCUUAUGCUAAGGAAUUUAAAGAACAUUUAAUUCCUACUAAGGCCAGGCCUAUUCAAAUGAAUCAUAAACAAGUGGAUCUUUGUAAAACGGAAAUCAAUGAUCUCCUUAGUAAAGGUCUUAUUAAACCCAGUAAAUCUCCCUGGUCUUGUCCUGCCUUCUAUGUCAACAAUGAAGCAGAAAAAGAGAGAGGAGUACCUCGUCUAGUUAUCAAUUACAAACCAUCGAAUAAAGUCUUAGAAUGGAUUAGGUAUCCCCUACCCAAUAAAGACGACCUUGUCAACAGGUUAAGUAAUGCCACAAUAUUCAGUAAAUUCGACCUCAAAUCCGAUUUCUGGCAAAUUGCCAUUCAUCCAGAUGAUAGUUACAAAACAGCAUUCACCACUCCGUUCGGUCAUUACGAAUGGAAUGUCCAGGCAUUUGGCCUAAAAAAUGCUCCAAGUGAAUUUCAAAAUAUCCUCAAUGACAUAUUAAACCCUUUCAGUCAUUUUAUUGUCGUCUAUAUUGACGAUAUCCUUAUUUUUUCAAUGACCAUUGAAGAACACAUUAAACACUUGAAAUCAUUCUUCAUGACUGUUAAAGAUAAUGGUCUAGUUCUUUCAGCUUCCAAAUGCAGCCUGUUUCAGGUCAGAAUAAGGUUUCUUAGUUUUAAUAUCUUUAGAGGACAUGUCCAGCCCAUUGAACGAGCUAUUCAAUUCGCUGACAAGUUUCCCGAUAAGAUAACCAACAAAACCCAACUGCAGAGAUUUCUUGGCUCGCUUAAUUACAUAGGCAAGUUUUACAAGAAUCUCAGGAAGAUCUGCAAACCUCUUUUUCAGCGUUUGCAAGACAAUCCACCGCCCUAGACUGACAUUCAUACUUCUGUCAUCCAACAAGUUAAAAAAUACGUCAAGGCAUUACCCUGUCUUGGAAUUUCCAAUGAUUCAGCAUUUAAAAUUGUUGAAACUGACGCCUCAGAUAUUGGUUUCGGGGGCAUUCUGAAACAAAAGUUAACACCUGAUUCCCCAGAACAGAUUGUUCGUUUUCAUUCCGGUGCAUGGAAUACUACACAAUUAAAUUACAGUACUAUUAAAAAAGAAAUACUUUCUUUAGUUUUAUGUAUUACUAAAUUUCAAAGUGAUUUAUUAAACCAAAAAUUUUUAGUUCGUAUUGAUUGUAAGUCAGCAAAAUACAUAUUAGAAAAAGACGUCCAAAAUCUAGCCUCUAAGCAUUCUUUCGCUAGAUGGCAAGCUUUAUUAAGCAUUUUUGAUUUUGAAAUUGAAUAUAUCAAGGGAAGUAACAAUUUAAUUCCUGAUUUUCUUACUCGGGAAUUUAUUAAUACAGGUACUAUUCAGAAAUGAGCACUAGAGGAGCAUCGUCCUCAAGGGGUCCGGGUCGCCCUUCUGGCCCAUUUAAUCAGCCCAGAGGAGCCAUGGUUCCUCAUCCAGUUAACCCAACUAUUCAGACCAGUAAUAAAUUCACUGUUCUCGGUACCAUGCCUAAGCCAUACAGUUCGGCUUUGGCCAGUCAGCCUAUUCCAGUUGACCCUUUCAGUAAUCCUGCUAAGGACUCGUCCUCAGCUCCUAGUCAUUCUCCUGCUGAGUACAUGCUCAGAUGGGAAAGUUAUUUAUUUCAUAUUGAACCCAGUAUGAAGCCCAAAAAUGACCCCAGUAAACUUGCUACCCAGUUUUUUCCCCCUGGAUGGCAUUUCCAACCUCUAGCUCCUUAUAAGUCCCUUGUGUACUAUAAGGAUAUUCUUCUGGAAACAGAGUCAGUAAACAUCAAGCCCAUUUAUGCACAGAAUGAUAAAUCAAAAGUCCUCUAUCAUUCUAUGUAUAUUAAACAGUUUGUUCAGAUCUCCGAUUGGGGAAAAAAUCCCUCCGAUCUCAUGGAUCUCUCCAGUCAAAAUCAUCAGUUUUGUUACUAUGAUUAUAUUGAAGCCUGGUAUAGGGUUCUCCUUCACCAGAACGAGUCACUUAGUCAUUCUUGGUUCAUUCAGUUUGACCAUAAGUUCAAAAGUCCUUUUCCUUAUUGGUUCGUCCUUUGGUGGUAUAGGUUAGGAUCUUGUUAUGAUCUUCUUCCUGACCCAUUGAAGGUUCAGUUAAAUCACUUCAAUAAUCAUUAUAAACCUAUCCCAUUGAAUGAAGGAGUUCCACCCACUCUUUUAUUUGUCAGUAAAUACAAGAUCCCUUGGAUUAUUAAAUGGGAGUAUCAUCUGGCAGUCCCUGGUACUCCAAUUAAUAACAUUCCCAAUGAUCCACUUCCUCGUGUGUCUCGCCUCUUUUAUGUUAAGUGGUGGGAUAAAUUUGACAUUAAAAGAAUAGUUACUCAGGUUCAGCAGGAAUUUCCUGUUGCUCCGAUCCCAGCUCUCCCAGUCAGUGCCUGUUCCCCGGCCAUUAAAGAAAAAGAGUCAGAGUCAGCCUCAAAGUCAAUAUCCAAAGUCAGUCCUUCGGGUUCAACAUGUUCCCGUAGUAUUUCAGAUUUUAAAGAUUGCACCAGUAAAGAGUUACUAAAGAUUGCCCAGGUACUCAAUAAAAGAAUUGAUGAAGCUUUGCAUGAAGAGGCUUCUAAUCAUUCUUCCCAGGGUGAUUCAAUCAGCCAGUUCGCCGUUGAUGAUGGUGAUUAUGAUCCUUACGGCACGGUCAACCUACAGGAUGCUCAGGAUCCAUUCGCCUGAGUUCAACAGUAUUAUCCAGUUCUAGACAGUUCCUGUUCCGGUCAGCCAGUUACUGCUCGGGCAGCCACUUAGUCAAAGGAAUCUGCUUUUCCACCGAAAGCAGCUGCAGUCAUUUAUGCGCGUCCCAGUCAUUCAUUGUUGUCGGCCAAUUUUUCAAAAGCAGCCGAAAGUUGUUGCAUUUAGUCAAAAGUAGUUACUUUUACUUUUACUUUUACUUAAGUAACAUGUUUCCACUUAAGUAAAAUGUUUUUACUUUACCCCAGUCAUUGUAACAGUUCUCUUUCCUUGCAUUAUAAAAGGAAACUGAGAUCAUUUGGUUCUUCAGAUUUCGAAACUUAAAAAGACUCUGAGCUCUCUCUCUCAGAAGAAUCUUUAGUUUCUACCUCUGAGAUCCCUACUUAACCCCUCUUCUCCAUUUCUCCAGUUAAAUGUUCUAAGUUGUAAGUUAAUAAUUUUAGAUGUUUUGUACAUAGUUUCAUUAAAUCAAUAAAAUUGUUUUUAUUUAGUAAUUAUUGUGUUGCACUUCUGCACUUCUUUUCUAUUAUCUUACUUCCGCCCUAAAUGGUAUCAGAGCCAAGUUGUUAUUGUUUCUAGUUGUUAGUCUGAUUUCAAUAAUCUUUCAUUCAUACUAUCUUCAUAACUUCUUCUUUCUGUAUCUGAAGUCACCUAACUUACUGUAGUCCACCCUACAUCGUGUCUACCCUUGUAAGUCUCUUGAGCGAGCAGUGUCGGGUAUUUGGUUUUGGGUAUGAGUCUACUCAAGGUAAGAGGGUCUGUAUGGAAGAUAAAGAGUGAGAUUUUGUUUUGAAGCUAUUAUAAUGAAUAGGUUAUUUAGAUCUAACUCUUCAACUAGUCACCGGUCAACUUUGCCUCCUGUUCCAGACAUAGUUAACCAAGAAACUCACAGUUAUGAAAAUAUCAGUCAAGCCCUACAUAAUUGGAAUAUACCUAGGGUUUCCCCUAAAGAAAUUUAUCAGUCAACAUUUCUUGAUAAUUUUAAA